CCAGCGGCGAUGCUACGCCGCAUGGGGGAUGGUUCGGCUAGAGCGCUGAAGAAGGUCGUGUCAAGCAGCGAUAUGCGUCGGGUAGGUGCACGAAGCCUAUGAUCCGACGAUUACCUAAUGGGACUUCCUAUUCUUCGGAAUGAUCAGUCAUGAUCGGGAACGCGGGGGAUUGAAGCAUCUUAGUACCCGCAGGAAAAGAAAUCAACCGAGAUGCCGUUAGUAAAGGCGAUCGAAAGCGGCAGCAGGGCAAACCGAAUCCCUCAUGGAAACAUAAGGGAGAUGUGGAGUUUUGGACUCGUUUACUCCUGGAGCGGACAUAUCCGCAGUGGUCUGGAAAGACCCGCCAUAGAGGGUGAUAGCCCCGUAGGAGAAAUUCCGUAUGGAGAUUUUCGAGUAUCCGGAGUAGUGUGUGUCGGAUAUCACGCAUGAAUUCGGGAGGCAUUCGCUUCCAACCCUAAAUACGUCUCUAGUCCGAUAGUGCAGUAGUAGUGUGAACGAAAACUGAAAAGUACCCUUAACGGGAGGUCAAAA
rnacentral:rRNA from 1 species